rnacentral:rRNA from 1 species
GGGGAAUAUUGCGCAAUGGGGGGAACCCUGACGCAGCAACGCCGCGUGAGUGAAGAAGGUCUUCGGAUCGUAAAACUCUGUCAUUGGGGAAGAAGGAAGUGACGGUACCCAAUGAGGAAGCCCCGGCUAACUACGUGCCAGCAGCCGCGGUAAUACGUAGGGGGCGAGCGUUGUCCGGAAUUACUGGGCGUAAAGGGUGCGUAGGCGGUCUUUUAAGUCAGAUGUGAAAUACCAGGGCUCAACCUUGGGGGUGCAUUUGAAACUGGGGGACUUGAGUGCAGGAGAGGAAAGUGGAAUUCCUAGUGUAGCGGUGAAAUGCGUAGAGAUUAGGAGGAACACCAGUGGCGAAGGCGACUUUCUGGACUGUAACUGACGCUGAGGCACGAAAGCGUGGGGAGCAAAC